CCGCAGUGGGAAGGUGCCGGGCCGUAGUCCCCGCACUGAUCCCGUUCCCUUUCUCCUGGCAGCCCCGAGCGGGGCUGGGGCCGGCCCUGCGGAGGCCGGGAGCAUCGUCCCUGUGCCCGCUGGGUGCGGGGCCAGAGGCGGCUCGGGGCUCCCCGCCCCGUCAGGCGGAGCACCCAGCUGGCCUCCUGCGAGGGGGAGCGGGGUGUGGUGGGAAUAACUUUCUCUGGAAACGCGGAAUUUUAAAUUUCCCGUUACUCAACACAAGACCGUGGGGACCGGGGGAAGUUACCUCUCCCCAGAGCUGUCCUGGCAAGCGCACAAAGGUGCCCGCAUCGCCUCGCAGCUGGGAGCCGCGCUACCUCGCUGCAAUUACCCAGCGCAGCGUUUCUUAUUCACAGACACUGAAUUAAUCCUUAUUCAAGAGAAGAAUUUUUUUCUUUACGGUUUUGUUUUCGCGGCCUCAUUUUUCUCAUUAGCAACAAAGUUUUCUUCCCCCCUUACCCUUUCCUCCCCCCGCCCCGUCUCGCCCAUCACAAUUUUAUCAUACAUUAAAAUAAAGCACAGUGGGGUGGGUUGGUAUUCUCUUUUUCUUUCUCUUAAGCGCCAGCGAUCGUUCAACGCAAUCAUUUAAUCAUCCCGAGUAAUUUUCUUCACCCAGAAACAGAGGUGAUUUAUUUAAAAAUUGGGCUAAUGGCCUGCGAAACUUCCCGGCUUGGAAAGAGCCCGCGGCGGAGCGGCAGGACCGCGCUGGCCGGGGCACGGCCCCUCCCUCCGGGAGAGGGGAAUCUGGGGCUCCCACUGGCAGCAGCCGGCCCGGGGAGUUUGGGGCUCCCGAGCGCGGCGAGGACGCGGUGCCCGGCGGCGGAGCAGCCCGGCGGGGACUCGCUGCAUCUUCCCGGGGCACAGCGGGCGGAUGGAGCGGGGCUGACCGAGGGAAGGGCUCGACAAAAGGAGCCGCGGUUUUACAUCCAGGUUACAGUUAAUACUGGAAGAGUUACCCUGAGCAAGUCCCUGUGUCACUUUAACAGUGGCCUAGGAGAUGCCUGGAAGAUAGUGGGUGCACUGUGACUCCUUCCUGGGAAGAUCUUGUUCCAGGGACAUGGGAUACCAGGAUGCCCUGAACAACAUCCAGUGACUGAUAUAUUUUACAGGAACUGCCUCGCAAUGGGUGUAAAACCUCAAUGCACAUUUCUCUGAAGGUCUUCUGUCCCUCCUGAAGACCUUCAUUUUGGUCAUCCUCAGUCUUUGAACUCCUGGCAUGUUAAAUUUUUGGACAUUAUGAAACACAUCAGGAGUGUCUGUUGAAAUGAAUGAAUGUUCCAGUGGGCAAUGCACACGUGAGAGAAAAUCCUUGAGCGCAGUGGCGGAACACUGCUCGGAGUAUCUGCCUGGAAUACCAAGCUCUGAGUUUGCACAGGCUCGAUGGCAGUUUCAGAGUAACAAAAGGAUAAAUGAUGCUGAUCUUUCUCCACACAAUGACACCUUUAAGAGAGAGUUACAGUCAAAACCACAUGCAUUCAGAUUGUGCAGCGUUGUGUCCGUGAACUUCCAGAGUUUGCAUUAAAAAGUGACAGAACAUCAGAGUGCCAGAAGCUUCUCAUAUUGUGGCCCUGAAGCCCAUCAUCUGUCACAUGCUGCUGCUCUGGGAAUGUGUGAGAGUGAAAUGAAGCCAGAGGAGGGAGCGCAGCCCCCGCUCCCCAGAGAACCACAUGGUGUGCAGCAGGAGCAAGACUCAGGUGAAUCUGAACAUCCUGGACAUGGUGUUCAUCCAGCACCCUCUCAUCAGAGGCAUUCCAUGCACCACGCGCUUUAUUCAGAGGCUGUAAAAGAGGUUACCUUCUGAAUUCCCUUUAGAAAAUAUCUCCAGGUGCUUCUUUGCCUUCCUUACCACCGACUCCUUGUUGUCUAGAUUUUCAGUCUGGCUUGGCCACUCUCAUGGGUAACUAUUGCUCUGCUUCUUUCAGUAUGCACUAAUCCAUUCUAUCCAAUUUUUGCCCCACCAUCUUGGAAAUGCAGCAAAAUCAGCUUGAAAACCUGAAACAUACCUUUGAACUCCCAAGUUUGAAAGCUGCCAUUCAAAUUAGUUUUGAGUUCAUAAAAUACAAAAUGUUUUCUCCAGUACAUACUGUAAAUGUUCUCACGUGACAGACAUUUGAUUUAUGACACUCAGUAAUGGUCUGCUAGGUUAAAAUGUAUCUUCUUACUACAAAGUAAUCUCUUAAAUUUCUUUCUCCUUAAAUAGGCCUUCACAUAAAGCUACAGGUUCCUGCUCUAAAGGGACUGUGUAAUAAAGCUCAUUGAUUUUCCCUUUCCAUUAGAAUGUUACCAAAAAACUGUUCAAGUGUAUACAUGGUAACAAAGAGUAAAGAAACUCAUUGCUGAUGGAGAAGUGACAUGUGAGCUUUCUUUGUGUAAUCUUAAAUCAUAAACACCAGAAAUAAAACCGUUGAGGAUUUUUUAAAUUAAUAUUAACUGCAUAACUUGAUUUUUCAGUCAGAUUUCAGAAGCCCUUUGUCCCAAAUCUUAACAAAUUGACAAGCACAGAUAGUAUCAACGUGUUCUUGAGAAAUUAUUGCUGGUUUUUGAAAAUGUAGGUCAUAUCUGUGUAGCAAAUUUAAAUAAUCCUCCUGAACUUAGACUUAUGAUAAAAAUCCAUUUAUUCUGUGCUUCUAUCUGAAUACAUAAAACUACACAAAUCCAAAUUCUUUCAAUAAUUUCUUCUGAAGGAGAUUUAACAAACAAUUCUAUUUUUCAAUCCAUACAGAGUCAAGGAAAGAGACUUGAAAGGCCUUGAAGGUUCCAAUAUGAUUGAUGGUCUCAUGACUGGAGAAAAUUCUGAAGAGACAAACCAAGAAUACAUUAGCUCCUCUCACUUACUCUGAGGGCCUAGAGCUGAUAACUAUUUCAUAAUAAUCACUAUAUUAUAUUUUUUAAAGUUUCUUUUAUUAUCUUUUUUUACCAGAA